CAGCCGCCGCGGUAAUACGUAGGUGGCAAGCGUUGUCCGGAAUUAUUGGGCGUAAAGGGCUCGCAGGCGGUUUCUUAAGUCUAAUGUGAAAGCCCCCGGCUCAACCGGGGAGGGUCAUUGGAAACUGGGAAACUUGAGUGCAGAAGAGGAGAGUGGAAUUCCACGUGUAGCGGUGAAAUGCGUAGAGAUGUGGAGGAACACCAGUGGCGAAGGCGACUCUCUGGUCUGUAACUGACGCUGAGGAGCGAAAGCGUGGGGAGCGAACAGGAUUAGAUACCCGCGUAGUCCCUGUCUCUUAUAC
rnacentral:rRNA from 1 species